rfam:Sorghum bicolor cultivar BTx623 chromosome 3, whole genome shotgun sequence.
GAUAACAGGCUGAUCUUCCCCAAGAUUCCACAUCGACGGGAAGAUUUAGCACCUUGAUGUCGGCACUUUGCCACCUAGAGCUGUAGGUGGUUCCAAGGGUUGGGUUGUUUGCCCAUUAAAGCGGUACAUGAGGUGGGUUUAGAAUAUCAUGAGAUAGUUC